rnacentral:rRNA from 1 species
UACGUAGGGGGCAAGCGUUGUUCGGAAUUACUGGGCGUAAAGGGCUCGUAGGCGGCCAACUAAGUCAGACGUGAAAUCCCUCGGCUUAACCGGGGAACUGCGUCUGAUACUGGAUGGCUAGAGAUUGGGAGAGGGAUGCGGAAUUCCAGGUGUAGCGGUGAAAUGCGUAGAUAUCUGGAGGAACACCGGUGGCGAAGGCGGCAUCCUGGACCAACACUGACGCUGAGGAGCGAAAGCCAGGGAGCAAGCGGG